rnacentral:rRNA from 1 species
UAGCUAGUUGGUGAGGUAACGGCUUACCAAGGCGACGAUCUGUAGCGGGUCUGAGAGGAUGAUCCGCCACACUGGAACUGAGACACGGUCCAGACUCCUACGGGAGGCAGCAGUGGGGAAUUUUGGACAAUGGGGGCAACCCUGAUCCAGCCAUGCCGCGUGAGUGAAGAAGGCCUUCGGGUUGUAAAGCUCUUUCGGCCGGGAAGAAAUCGCAUGGGCCAAUACCCUGUGUGGAUGACGGUACCGGAAUAAGAAGCACCGGCUAACUACGUGCCAGCAGCCGCGGUAAUACGUAGGGUGCGAGCGUUAAUCGGAAUUACUGGGCGUAAAGCGUGCGCAGGCGGUUUUGUAAGACAGGCGUGAAAUCCCCGGGCUCAACCUGGGAACUGCGUUUGUGACUGCAAGGCUAGAGUACGGCAGAGGGGGGUGGAAUUCCACGUGUAGCAGUGAAAUGCGUAGAGAUGUGGAGGAACACCAAUGGCGAAGGCAGCCCCCUGGGUCGAUACUGACGCUCAUGCACGAAAGCGUGGGUAGCAAACAGGAUUAGAUACCCUGGUAGUCCACGCCCUAAACUAUGUCAACUAGGUGUUGGGUGGGUAAAACCAUUUAGUACCGUAGCUAACGCGUGAAGUUGACCGCCUGGGGAGUACGGCCGCAAGGUUAAAACUCAAAGGAAUUGACGGGGACCCGCACAAGCGGUGGAUGAUGUGGAUUAAUUCGAUGCAACGCGAAAAACCUUACCUACCCUUGACAUGCCAGGAACUUGCCAGAGAUGGCUUGGUGCCCGAAAGGGAGCCUGGACACAGGUGCUGCAUGGUUGUCGUCAGCUCUGUCGUGAGAUGUUGGGUUAAGUCCCGCAACGAGCGCAACCCUUGUCGUUAAUUGCCAUCAUUUAGUUGGGCACUUUAGCGAGACUGCCGGUGACAAACCGGAGGAAGGUGGGGAUGACGUCAAGUCCUCAUGGCCCUUAUGGGUAGGGCUUCACACGUCAUACAAUGGUCGGUACAAAGGGUCGCCAAGCCGCGAGGUGGAGCCAAUCCCAGAAAGCCGAUCGUAGUCCGGAUUGCAGGCUGCAACUCGCCUGCAUGAAGUCGGAAUCGCUAGUAAUCGUGGAUCAGCAUGUCACGGUGAAUACGUUCCCGGGUCUUGUACACACCGCCCGUCACACCAUGGGAGCGGGUUCCGCCAGAAGUAGGUAGCCUAACCGCAAGGAGGGCGCUUACCACGGCGGGGUUCGUGACUGGGGUGAAGUCGGAACAAGGUAGCCGUGGGGGAACCUGCGGCUG